AACAUUUUCAGGUCAGUGCGAAACUAGGCAUUUACCAAAAGUAAAAAAAGUUUGUACUGUCUGUGGCUUGUUGAAAUUAUUUGCAUUUCUUUUUAUAGUGACUCAAACUUAAUUGGUGUUCAUAGUGUCAAUAAUAGUUAUCACAGGUCAGUCACCAAAACAAAUCAGAGAUGGCUACAUAACAAACUUCUACUCCAUGCAGUCGUUGGGAGGACCAUGCGCCAAAUUAAACAGUUGAGAAAGGGACUGAAAGAUGUGAUGGUAUGGCCCCUGCUGACAUCUAGGCCGGAUGUUGUACCACUUCUUUUCCCCAAAAUGGCUGAAAUGCAGUUCACACCCCAGAUGCUCCUAGAAAAAAUCACAUGGCCAGUUGAGGACAGUGAUGAUGAAGACUUUGACUUAGACACCACCUGCCGCAUCACUGGCUUUCUAAGGAUGUUCAUUGAAACAGCUUCAUCAGGUACCCUGGCCCAGCUGCUGACAUUCUGGGUUGGCUGGGAGAUGCUUCCUCCUGAACUGAGAGUGGAGAUUUCUGGGGGAAC